rnacentral:rRNA from 1 species
UACGUAGGGGGCAAGCGUUGUCCGGAAUCAUUGGGCGUAAAGAGCGUGUAGGCGGCCCGAUAAGUCCGCUGUGAAAGUCCAGGGCUCAACCCUGGGAUGCCGGUCGAUACUGCCGGACUACGGAGUUCGGAAGAGGCGAGUGGAAUUCCCGGUGUAGCGGUGAAAUGCGCAGAUAUCGGGAGGAACACCAAUGGCGAAGGCAGCUCGCUGGGACGUUACUGACGCUGAGACGCGAAAGCGUGGGGAGCAAACAGG